GCGCCUGUGGUGAAAUUGGUAGACACGCCAGACUUAGGAUCUGGUGCUUCGCGGCGUGUAGGUUCGAGUCCUAUCAGGCGCACUA
rnacentral:tRNA from 2 species